GGCCAAGACUGGGACCAGGAAAGAGAGGAGCAAAAUCUGUCCGAUCUACUUUCCCCAAUCUGUGAAGUAGCUAAUAAUAUAGAACAGAAUGCUCAAGAGAAUGAAAAUGAAAGCCAAGUUUCAACAGAUGAAAGUGA
rnacentral:sRNA from 1 species